AAGGAUCAGAGCUAUAUGUGGACGCAGUGGCUGCUCUCCUCCCCUCCUUGUGCUGCUGCCCCUCCCUGUUAACUAUGGAAUGAGAUGAUGAUGGUGAUUGCUGCAUGACCUAAUUGCUGUAAGACAAUUGCCAAGGUAAUGCAAUACCUUCAGUAGCAAUUUUGUGGCUUAUUUAUUUUGUUAAUAUGGUUUAUUUUUGCCCUACUAGGAGGAGCUCUACCUAAUGCUGUUUUUGUCCCUGUUUAAUUUACUUUGUAUAUUUUUGGGGUUAUUUUGCUUUAUUAUUCUACCUGUGAGUGAUUUUUAUGUAGUUGUUGGUGCCAGUACAGGUGGGCGGCCAUAUUUCUAAAGGCGGUGAGUCACAUGGUGGAGGUCUUCCUUUUUGUCUGCUUCUCCCCUGCCUGUGUUUUGCAUGUAUAAUUUACGGCAUUUUGCAUGAUUAUUUUGACUUUGUGUGAAACUUAUUGCGUGUCUUUUGUGUUGCAGUGUGUUUGACUUCCCUUUAUCCCGGCCUGGUGGUGGUUCCCCCUUCCCCUCACUCCCUCCUGCAGACUUCCCUGACACCCCCUCCCUUGUACUGGUAGCCAUUUUAGCUUGUCACUAUUGCGCAUUUUUAAGUAUUGUGUGCAUUAUUUUAUAUUUAAAUAAAAUCUUAUCUAUUUGUCUAUACCUGGAAACGCACGUCUCUGCGCCUCCUUUUAUAUUAAGAACCUAGAUAGUAAAUGUGUAUUUCCCUGGGUGAAACUCCCAGGGUGGCGUUGUCAUAUCCAGUGUCAGGGGCUUGUAGUUGCCCCGGUCACACUAACAAUAAAAAAAGCCACUUUGUAUUUUCUUUUUAGCUUCAAAUAAGCAUUUACAAUCUUAAAUCAAGGUCCAUUUACUGUAUUUCUUUCCAGAAAUAGUCAAGUUUUGUGAGAUGGUCAAAGGGCCAGGAUAUGCUGAUUCAGAACUAGGACUACAAUGGAUGAGAUGGUGGAGAUGCGAUAUUGUUUAAAUAUGGAGAUAAGAUAACAAAUGACUAUUUAUCCUUUAGUGGGGGAAUUUAGUUGUCACAGCAGCUCAAGAUACAGACACAGAUAUAGAAGACAGAAUAAGAAUAUAAAAAAUAAGACAUAUCCAUGCAUUCUAUACACAUUUCUGCUAUUGGGCAUUUCUUAAUAUUUGUUUGUUUUCCUGAAAGUACUUUGCAUUUUACAGAUAUUGCACAUUGGAAAAAUAUAUUUUAGCAUGUGUUAAAAUAAUUGAUUAUUUUCUAUAUUGGUAAAUGGUUUUAUGCUUUAUUUCUGCUUCUCUGUGGUCUGUCUCUGAGUGACGCAGGUCACUAUCAAAGGUCAAACCUUGACUGUAAUAAUCUCUGCAUUUAUAUUAAGUCAGACAAUAUGAUUUGAUACAAUGAUUGAUUGUGUGUUUUUGGUUUAGAAACUUUGACUACAUUUAUUUUAUUGUCUGGUUCAUAUUUUUUUAGACUUUUACAAUCUAUGUGACACAGUGAGAAACCUUUGACUCUGUAGACAUAAUAUCUUUGUGAGACAAUAACAAAACAGAAUUUUUUGUUGUUGAAUGUCCUGGAGAGGCCAGGAUGGCCUUGUCCGGGGCAGCAAGAUCGUAUGCCCAGCUGGCAUUGACGUGCCGUUGUAUUAAUUAAAACUGGCGAAUCAGCGAUCAAGAGGGCGGGACUUCCUGGUGGAAAUCGACCAGCAUGUUUUGUAAACAAUUGUAAGGUUAUUUUAAUGGGUUCCAGGGAGGGAGUCAUGGUUCAGACUUCACGAACUGAAACACGUCUGUUUGUAUUCAGGGACAUGAGUUAAUUUUGAACCCGGAGAUCUCUGUAGAGUGCACAUUUUUUUGACGUAUUGUAAUAAAACUUUUGUUAAACUGAGAAA